CUGGCGGCGUGCCUAAUACAUGCAAGUCGAACGGUCUUUCUAUGGAAGCUUGCUUCCACUGAGAAGAUAGUGGCGAACGGGUGAGUAACACGUGGGUAACCUGCCCAUAAGAGGGGGGAUAACAUCCGGAAACGGGUGCUAAUACCGCAUAGUUUUCUUGAUCGCAUGAUCGGGAAAGGAAAGACGGCCUUUGUGCUGUCGCUUAUGGAUGGACCCGCGGCGUAUUAGUUAGUUGGUGAGGUAACGGCUCACCAAGACGAUGAUACGUAGCCGACCUGAGAGGGUGAUCGGCCACAUUGGGACUGAGACACGGCCCAAACUCCUACGGGAGGCAGCAGUAGGGAAUCUUCCGCAAUGGACGAAAGUCUGACGGAGCAACGCCGCGUGAGUGAAGAAAAGGUUUUCGGAUCGUAAAACUCUGUUGUCAGAGAAGAACAAGUUGGAGAGUAACUGCUCCAGCCUUGACGGUAUCUGACCAGAAAGCCACGGCUAACUACGUGCCAGCCGCCGC
rnacentral:rRNA from 1 species